CUUGGGAAAUAGUGAUCACAAUAUAGUGUCCUUUGAAAUAAACUCAAAAAAACAAAAGCACAUGGGGAAUACUAAAACAUAUAAUUUUAAAAGGCCAAUUUCAAUAAGUUAAGGGAAGCUUUACAAUAUAUUGACUGGCAUAAACUCUUUAGUGAAAAGAACACUGAGGAUAAAUGGAUCAUCUUCCAACAAAUAUUACAAAGGUACAUUUCUCAGUAUGUACC